rnacentral:rRNA from 1 species
GAACGGUGAAGCUCAGCUUGCUGGGUGGAUCAGUGGCGAACGGGUGAGUAACACGUGAGCAACCUGCCCCCUACUUCGGGAUAAGCCUUGGAAACGGGGUCUAAUACCGGAUAUGAACACUUGCCGCAUGGUGGGUGUUGGAAAGUUUUUCGGUGGGGGAUGGGCUCGCGGCCUAUCAGCUUGUUGGUGGGGUAAUGGCCUACCAAGGCGUCGACGGGUAGCCGGCCUGAGAGGGCGACCGGCCACACUGGGACUGAGACACGGCCCAGACUCCUACGGGAGGCAGCAGUGGGGAAUAUUGCACAAUGGGCGAAAGCCUGAUGCAGCGACGCCACGUGAGGGAUGACGGCCUUCGGGUUGUAAACCUCUUUCAGCAGGGAAGAAGCGAAAGUGACGGUACCUGCAGAAGAAGCGCCGGCUAACUACGUGCCAGCAGCCGCGGUAAUACGUAGGGCGCAAGCGUUGUCCGGAAUUAUUGGGCGUAAAGAGCUCGUAGGCGGUCUGUCGCGUCUGGUGUGAAAUCCCAUGGCUCAACUGUGGGCUUGCAUCGGGUACGGGCAGACUAGAGUGCUGUAGGGGAGACUGGAAUUCCUGGUGUAGCGGUGGAAUGCGCAGAUAUCAGGAGGAACACCGAUGGCGAAGGCAGGUCUCUGGGCAGUUACUGACGCUGAGGAGCGAAAGCAUGGGGAGCGAACAGGAUUAGAUACCCUGGUAGUCCAUGCCGUAAACGUUGGGCACUAGGUGUGGGGCGGGUUCCNCUCGUUCUGUGCCGUANCUAANGCAUUAAGUGCCCCGCCNGGGGAGUANGGCNNCANGGNUAAAACUCAAAGGAAUUGACGGGGGCC